GGCGGCGUGCCUAAUACAUGCAAGUCGAACGAGUUCUGAUUAUUGAAAGGUGCUUGCAUCUUGAUUUAAUUUUGAACGAGUGGCGGACGGGUGAGUAACACGUGGGUAACCUGCCCUUAAGUGGGGGAUAACAUUUGGAAACAGAUGCUAAUACCGCAUAAAUCCAAGAACCGCAUGGUUCUUGGCUGAAAGAUGGCGUAAGCUAUCGCUUUUGGAUGGACCCGCGGCGUAUUAGCUAGUUGGUGAGGUAACGGCUCACCAAGGCAAUGAUACGUAGCCGAACUGAGAGGUUGAUCGGCCACAUUGGGACUGAGACACGGCCCAAACUCCUACGGGAGGCAGCAGUAGGGAAUCUUCCACAAUGGACGCAAGUCUGAUGGAGCAACGCCGCGUGAGUGAAGAAGGCUUUCGGGUCGUAAAACUCUGUUGUUGGAGAAGAAUGGUCGGCAGAGUAACUGUUGUCGGCGUGACGGUAUCCAACCAGAAAGCCACGGCUAACUACGUGCCAGCAGCCGCGGUAAUACGUAGGUGGCAAGCGUUAUCCGGAUUUAUUGGGCGUAAAGCGAGCGCAGGCGGUUUUUUAAGUCUGAUGUGAAAGCCCUCGGCUUAACCGAGGAAGUGCAUCGGAAACUGGGAAACUUGAGUGCAGAAGAGGACAGUGGAACUCCAUGUGUAGCGGUGAAAUGCGUAGAUAUAUGGAAGAACACCAGUGGCGAAGGCGGCUGUCUGGUCUGUAACUGACGCUGAGGCUCGAAAGCAUGGGUAGCGAACAGGAUUAGAUACCCUGGUAGUCCAUGCCGUAAACGAUGAAUGCUAGGUGUUGGAGGGUUUCCGCCCUUCAGUGCCGCAGCUAACGCAUUAAGCAUUCCGCCUGGGGAGUACGACCGCAAGGUUGAAACUCAAAGGAAUUGACGGGGGCCCGCACAAGCGGUGGAGCAUGUGGUUUAAUUCGAAGCAACGCGAAGAACCUUACCAGGUCUUGACAUCUUUUGAUCACCUGAGAGAUCAGGUUUCCCCUUCGGGGGCAAAAUGACAGGUGGUGCAUGGUUGUCGUCAGCUCGUGUCGUGAGAUGUUGGGUUAAGUCCCGCAACGAGCGCAACCCUUAUGACUAGUUGCCAGCAUUUAGUUGGGCACUCUAGUAAGACUGCCGGUGACAAACCGGAGGAAGGUGGGGAUGACGUCAAAUCAUCAUGCCCCUUAUGACCUGGGCUACACACGUGCUACAAUGGAUGGUACAACGAGUUGCGAGACCGCGAGGUCAAGCUAAUCUCUUAAAGCCAUUCUCAGUUCGGACUGUAGGCUGCAACUCGCCUACACGAAGUCGGAAUCGCUAGUAAUCGCGGAUCAGCACGCCGCGGUGAAUACGUUCCCGGGCCUUGUACACACCGCCCGUCACACCAUGAGAGUUUGUAACACCCGAAGCCGGUGGCGUAACCCUU
rnacentral:rRNA from 1 species